GUGGACGUAGCUUAAUGGUAAAGCUCCCGGUUGUGGUCCGGGCGAUCUGCGGGUUCGAAUCCCGUCGUCCACCCCA
rnacentral:tRNA from 1 species